UUCAUAGACAAAGAUUUGCUUUCAAAGCUUACCAAAUGACCACCGUGCCAUCGCCUCUUUUGGCAAAUGCUUUGGGGAAAGUCUCCGGCCGUCACAGCGGAAACGCAGCGAUUCUUGAGGUCGUUUCGCCCUCUGUUCUGUUUCUACUCGGAGCCCAGCCAUUUCGUUUUGUCUGCUUAGUUAGUAUCCUCUUUUCUACUUGAUCAGUAUCCUCAUUAGUGGAGCUAUAAUUCCCGUGCAUCAAUCCCUUUUGGAUCUCGUGAGCUUCGGCUCUAUGAUGACAUUUGGUUGUUUCGCGAGUUUGGAAUGCUGGCCAAUGUGGAAUUGAGGUUUCCAGCUAGGUAUAAAGGACGACAUGGGAUGCUGGGUGGACUGGAAUAAGUAAUAGAGGCGCUUACUUCAUAUCUCCACGGAGGUCUGAAGAUUCGUCAUUCGGCAAUGGGAUUUUGUAUCCUAAACCAUAGAUAUAGCAAGUGGCCAUGUAUCAUGGCCAACCCAAUGGAGCUCACUCUUGUUUAUGA
rnacentral:RNase_MRP_RNA from 2 species